AUGACCGAUCUUGGUGACCUUCAUCAUUUUCUCGGCAUAAAUGUCACCCCCAAUGAUUCUGGUCUCUUCUUAUGUCAACAACAGUACGCUCUUGAGGUUCUUGAACGAGCCAACAUGCUCCACUGCAAGCCGGUUCCCACUCCGGUGGAUACCACCUCCAAGCUUUCUGCCCAAGCCGGCGCCCUCUUGGCCAACCCAACCCUAUAUCGCAGCCUCGCCGGAGCUCUGCAAUAUCUCACCCUCACCCAGCCCGACCUCUCCUAUGCCGUGCAACAAGUGUGUUUAUUCAUGCAUGCCCCACGCGACUCUCAUAUGCAGCUUGUCAAACGCAUUCUUCGCUAUGUGCGUGGCACCACACACUAUGGCUUACAACUCUUUAAGUCUUCCUCGCACGAGCUUGUGGCCUACACAGACGCCGACUGGGCCGGGUGCCCUGACACACGCAAAUCUACCUCGGGCUUUUGCGUCUUUCUUGGGCAGAAUCUCCUCUCUUGGUCGUCAAAACGACAGGCUACCGUCUCACGGUCCAGUGCAGAGGCUGAAUACAGGGGUGUGGCCAACUGUGUUGCCGAGUCAUGUUGGCUUCGUCAGCUUCUACAUGAGCUCCGGCGUCCUCCGUCGCAAGCCACCAUCGUCUAUUGUGACAAUGUCAGUGCAGCCUACAUUGCCACCAAUCCGGUACAACAUCAACGGACGAAGCACAUUGAGAUUGAUCUUCACUUCGUCCGUGAUCGUGUGGCCCUCGGGGAAGCUCGCGUGCUCCAUGUUCCAUCCAGCUCGCAGUUCGCCGAUGUCUUCACCAAGGGCCUCCCAACACAGGUCUUCCGCGACUUUCGUGACAGCCUAAACAUCCUUCCCAAUGGAGUUCCGGCUGAGGGGGGGUGUUAA
rnacentral:rRNA from 1 species